rnacentral:rRNA from 1 species
GAUGAACGCUGGCGGUAUGCCUAACACAUGCAAGUCGUACGAGAGUUUUUAACUCUAGUGGCGGACGGGUGAGUAACACGUGAGAAUUUGCCUUUAGAGGGGGAUAACAAUUGGAAACGAAUGCUAAUACCCCAUAUGCUUUUGAGUGAAAUGGAUUUAUCCGCCUAGAGAGAAGCUCGCGGCUGAUUAGCUUGUUGGUAAGGUAAGAGCUUACCAAGGCGACGAUCAGUAUCUGGUUUGAGAGGACGAUCAGACACACUGGAACUGAGACACGGUCCAGACUCCUACGGGAGGCAGCAGUGGGGAAUUUUCCGCAAUGGGCGAAAGCCUGACGGAGCAAUACCGCGUGAGGGAAGACUGCCUAUGGGUUGUAAACCUCUUUUUCAGGGAGGAAUAAAUGACGUGUACCUGAAGAAUAAGCAUCGGCUAACUCCGUG